UAAGACAGAGGUGCCGAGCGUUAGGCGGAAUCACUGGGCUUAAAGCGCGUGUAGGCGGGCCGUUAAGUGCCCCGUGAAAUCCCCCGGCUUAACCGGGGAACUGCGGGGCAUACUGGCGGCCUUGAGAGACCUAGGGGCGAGCGGAACAGGCGGUGGAGCGGUGAAAUGCGUAGAUAUCGCCUGGAACGCCGACGGUGAAAACAGCUCGCUGGGGGUCUUCUGACGCUGAGACGCGAAAGCCAGGGGAGCGAACGGGAUUAGAUACCCCGGUAGUCCUGGCCCUAAACGAUGUCCACUAGGUCGCGGAGGCGUUUGACCGCCGCCGCGGCCGAAGCAAAAGUGCUAAGUGGACCGCCUGGGAAGUACGGUCGCAAGGCUA
rnacentral:rRNA from 1 species